GGUUUCUAAAAGUGUGAAUACUCAGGAAGAGAGUCACCACAGAGCUGGAUGUUAGUUAAAGGAGCUGGAAGCUCUUCAUCUUCUUCUGUGUGGCUGAUUGUUGGACUGGUUUGUGGAGUCUCUCUCCUCAUUAUUCUCCUGCUCUUGUUGUUUAUCUGCAGACAGUCCAAGUAUUCAUGCUUCACCAGGUCGAUCCAGUCUGAGAGUCACAGUUUGGGCUCCUCCACAAAUCAUGAAGUCAGCCAGAAUGAAACUGAUGAAUACGACUCUCUACAAC